GAUGAACGCUGGCGGCGUGCCUAAUACAUGCAAGUCGAGCGAACAGAUAAGGAGCUUGCUCCUUUGACGUUAGCGGCGGACGGGUGAUUAACACGUGGGUAACCUACCUAUAAGACUGGGAUAACUUCGGGAAACCGGAGCUAAUACCGGAUAACAUUUGGAACCUCAUGGUUCUAAAGUGAAAGAUGGUUUUGCUAUCACUUAUAGAUGGACCCGCGCCGUAUUAUCUAGUUGGUAAGGUAACGGCUUACCAAGGCGACGAUACGUAGCCGACCUGAGAGGGUGAUCGGCCACACUGGAACUGAGACACGGUCCAGACUCCUACGGGAGGAAGCAGUAGGGAAUCUUCCGCAAUGGGCGAAAGCCUGACGGAGCAACGCCGCGUGAGUGAUGAAGGGUUUCGGCUCGUAAAACUCUGUUAUUAGGGAAGAACAAAUGUGUAAGUAACUGUGCACGUCUUGACGGUACCUAAUCAGAAAGCCACGGCUAACUACGUG
rnacentral:rRNA from 1 species